GUAUUGUCCCUCCCCUAUUGUGAUCCUUGUGUUUGUCACACAGACCUACAAAUAAGGGCACUCCAAUUCAAAUGUUUUUCAGUUUAGGUUAAUAUCUAUGUAGACUCCCUGGUCUGGAGAGCUGGUCUAGUCUAUCAAGGUUUAGAUAAUGAGAAAUAAGUGAUAGGGAAUAUUAACAACUGAGAGAUCCUUUGCAGUGACCCAUUCAGAUGUCUUUGUUGCCAGGCUAUGAUUUCCCCACUUUGUGUGAUGAACAUGUACAACCAGGAA
rnacentral:lncRNA from 1 species